GAUGAACGCUAGCGGCAGGCCUAACACAUGCAAGUCGAACGGUAACAUGAGAGCUUGCUCUUGAUGACGAGUGGCGCACGGGUGCGUAACGCGUAUGCAGCUUACCCCAAACUGGAGAAUAGCCUUUGGAAACGAAGAAUAAUACUCCAUAGUAUUCUGAGAAGGCAUCUUCUUAGUCUUAAAGCUUCGGCGGUUUGGGAUAGGCAUGCGUUCUAUUAGUUAGUUGGUGAGGUAACGGCUCACCAAGACCACGAUAGAUAGGGGGCCUGAGAGGGUUAUCCCCCACACUGGCACUGAGACACGGACCAG
rnacentral:rRNA from 1 species